UCAGCUGGGGCCAAAGAGAAGGGAAACGGGCAAUUACACAUCUGCUGCCUGUAGCUGGAGCCAGCCCAGCCAGUGGACAGGCACUCACUGCUCAGCCAGCAUCAGCUGUGAGGCCUGGGCUCAGACCUAAGCCACCAGGAAUGAGGACUGCAUUCCUAAGAAAUGCUGGAGAGGAGACAGCCAAGGGAAAGCCUCCACGGCACGGUGUCCCCAUGGCACAGCAGGCUGCAGCCUCCAGACAUCCCUGUAAAUCCAGCCUGAGGUCAUCCACGCUACACACACAGCUGAAGUGACUUCAGAAAGCUCCAAGAGCUGGUCAUCUAAACUCUUGGCAAGGCUCUUCAGCUGCCAGCAUACAAAGUUACCCUCGCUGCCUGCCCUACAACCUGAACAGAGAAACUUGUGCAAAGCCUGCACAGAUGUGGCUUUCCAGCCAAGUAUGUCUGGUUCCUGAAAGGGGAAUAACCCAAGCUAGAGAAUAAACAUGACCUGCAGAUUACAAGUGCAGACAACAUGAGACUCCUCGAGCUCCUUCCAUCUUCUUACAUGGCUAUUACGAGAAGCAGCUGCAUGAAAGGAUAUUGCACCAUCUUGGCUCCUAAAUCCAGCAGAGCACAGGAUUACAUUCAUUGACAAGGAUUCUGAGCUGGUUCCCUCCUCGAGGAGGAGGAGGGAGAUUUCCCUUUCCAUGGCAUGAUGCAAUGCUGACAGUUGUACACAACCAGCUCUGAAGACAGAGACAGAUGCCAGUGCUUGCAUGGAAGAGUUUGACAUCUGAUCCUUCAUGUCCUGUUUGUUCAACAAAAGAAGCAGCAUGUGAGCAUUGGAUUUGAGGUGACAGGCAGAUUCAGGUGCUACAGGGCUGUCUACACCCACCAAGGCUUCCACAAGGGGGAAUGAGGGAAGGGAUAUUUUCUUUCAGAGUCUGGAAACACACUGUAGAAAGUUUCAUUGUUAUACUAAUACUGGAAUCAACAGCAUUGGGAUAUUUUGAAAAUAUUCUUAAUUUACUACUCAUUUUGCUCCACUACAACCACAAUCACUUUGAUUUGUAUAAUAAACUCAUGUUCCCACUG